rnacentral:rRNA from 1 species
AUUGAACGCUGGCGGCAGGCUUAACACAUGCAAGUCGAGCGAGCGGCGGACGGGUGAGUAAUGUAUGGGGAACUGCCUGAUGGAGGGGGAUAACUACUGGAAACGGUAGCUAAUACCGCAUACCAUCAGAUGAACCCAUAUGGGAUUAGCUUGUAGGUAUGGUAAUGGCUUACCUAGGCGACGAUCCCUAGCUGGUCUGAGAGGAUGAUCAGCAACACUGGGACUGAGACACGGCCCAGACGCCUACGGGAGGCAGCAGUGGGGAAUAUUGCACAAUGGGCGCAAGCCUGAGGCAGCCAUGCCGCGUGUGUGAAGAAGGCCUUCGGGUUGUAAAGUACUUUCAGUGGGGAGGCGUUACCGGCAGAAGAAGCACCGGCUAACUCCGUGCCAGCAGCCGCGGUAAUUC